rnacentral:rRNA from 1 species
AGUCGAACGAGAAAGUGGAGCAUCCAUGAGUAAGUGGCGCACGGGUGAGUAACACGUGACUAACCUACCCUCGAGUGGGGAAUAACUUCGGGAAACCGAGGCUAAUACCGCAUAACAUCUACGGAUCAAAUGCGUAAGCAGCUUGGGGAGGGGGUCGCGGCUGAUUAGCUAGUUGGCGGGGUAAUGGCCCACCAAGGCAGUGAUCAGUAGCCGGCCUGAGAGGGCGCACGGCCACACUGGAACUGAAACACGGUCCAGACUCCUACGGGAGGCAGCAGUGGGGAAUUUUGCGCAAUGGGGGAAACCCUGACGCAGCAACGCCGCGUGGAGGAUGAAGCCCCUUGGGGUGUAAACUCCUUUCGAUCGGGACGAUUAUGACGGUACCGGAUGAAGAAGCACCGGCUAACUCUGUGCCAGCAGCCGCGGUAAUACAGAGGGUGCAAGCGUUGUUCGGAAUUAUUGGGCGUAAAGGGUGCGUAAGGCGGUGCGGUAAGUCUUCUGUGGAAAUCUCCGGGGCUUAAACUCGGAGCCUGCAGGGGAAAACUGGCCGUGCUGGGAAGUAAUGGG